AUGCAGCUCGCAUAUCUCAUCCUCACCGUCUUCCUGGGCCAGCUCCUGGGCACCACGGGGCAGGACACGGUCACCCAGGAACAUGGACCAGUCUGGGUGAAGCAGGGACACCCCUUCAACACCACCUGCAAAUACCACACCAGUUAUUUUGGUGCCUUAUUUUGGUACCAGCUCAGGAAAGGGCAAGCCCCAGAGCUGAUCUCCUAUCAAGCAGGGAGUGGCCCCAAGACCAGCGGCCAUUUCACCACACAGCUGAACACCACGGGCAAAUCCAGUGUCCUGCAGCUGGAGGAAGUGGAGCUCUCUGACUCUGCCUUGUACCUCUGUGCUGUCAGAGGCCAGGGCUGGUUUUGUGUCCCUGCCUUGUGUGCUCUUGGAGCAGCCCCGUUUGCAUGGACACACGUGAAGCACGGAUUUGUCUGGGGCUCCACACUGGCGGCAUCGCUGCUGUGUGCGAUGGGACACAGGUGUCCCUUGUCCCUGGCCAUGCCAAAGGUCCCUGUGUCGCUGGUUGUGCCGGUGCCGUGA